rnacentral:rRNA from 1 species
UUUUAUUUGAGAGUUUGAUCCUGGCUCAGGAUGAACGCUGGCGGCGUGCCUAACACAUGCAAGUUGAGCGAUUUACUUCGGUAAAGAGCGGCGGACGGGUGAGUAACGCGUGGGUAACCUACCCUGUACACACGGAUAACAUACCGAAAGGUAUGCUAAUACGGGAUAAUAUAUUUGAGAGGCAUCUCUUGAAUAUCAAAGGUGAGCCAGUACAGGAUGGACCCGCGUCUGAUUAGCUAGUUGGUAAGGUAACGGCUUACCAAGGCGACGAUCAGUAGCCGACCUGAGAGGGUGAUCGGCCACAUUGGAACUGAGACACGGUCCAAACUCCUA